rnacentral:rRNA from 1 species
CCUACGGGGGGGGNWGCAGUAGGGAAUCUUCCGCAAUGGGCGAAAGCCUGACGGAGCAAUGCCGCGUGAGUGAUGAAGGUUUUCGGAUCGUAAAGCUCUGUUGCCAGGGAAGAACGCUUGGGAGAGUAACUGCUCUCAAGGUGACGGUACCUGAGAAGAAAGCCCCGGCUAACUACGUGCCAGCAGCCGCGGUAAUACGUAGGGGGCAAGCGUUGUCCGGAAUUAUUGGGCGUAAAGCGCGCGCAGGCGGUCAUUUAAGUCUGGUGUUUAAUCCCGGGGCUCAACCCCGGAUCGCACUGGAAACUGGGUGACUUGAGUGCAGAAGAGGAGAGUGGAAUUCCACGUGUAGCGGUGAAAUGCGUAGAUAUGUGGAGGAACACCAGUGGCGAAGGCGACUCUCUGGGCUGUAACUGACGCUGAGGCGCGAAAGCGUGGGGAGCAAACAGGAUUAGAUACCCCCAAGUAGUCAA